GCAUCGCGACCCCAGGUCAGGCGGGAUUACCCGCUGAGUU
rnacentral:rRNA from 10 species